UACGGGGGGGGGCAAGCGUUGUUCGGAAUUACUGGGCGUAAAGGGCUCGUAGGCGGCCAACUAAGUCGGAUGUGAAAUCCCCGGGCUCAACCUGGGCACUGCAGUUGAAACUGGCAAGCUAGAGUAGGGUAGAGGGGUGUGGAAUUCCAGGUGUAGCGGUGAAAUGCGUAGAUAUCUGGAGGAACACCGGUGGCGAAGGCGGCUCACUGGCCCGAUACUGACGCUGAGGCACGGAAAGCGUGGGGAGCAA
rnacentral:rRNA from 1 species